AUUGAACGCUGGCGGCAUGCCUUACACAUGCAAGUCGAACGGUAACGGGCCUUCGGGUGCCGACGAGUGGCGAACGGGUGAGUAAUACAUCGGAACGUGCCCGAUCGUGGGGGAUAACGAGGCGAAAGCUUUGCUAAUACCGCAUACGAUCUACGGAUGAAAGCAGGGGGCCGCAAGGCCUUGCGCGGACGGAGCGGCCGAUGGCAGAUUAGGGAGUUGGUGGGAUAAAAGCUUACCAAGCCGACGAUCUGUAGCUGGUCUGAGAGGAUGAUCAGCCACACUGGGACUGAGACACGGCCCAGACUCCUACGGGAGGCAGCAGUGGGGAAUUUUGGACAAUGGGCGCAAGCCUGAGCCAGCCAUGCCGCGUGCAGGAUGAAGGCCUUCGGGUUGUAAACUGCUUUUGUACGGAACGAAAAGCCUUCUUUUAAUACAGGAGGGUCAUGACGGUACCGUAAGAAUAAGCACCGGCUAACUACGUG
rnacentral:rRNA from 1 species